UAAUUAGAUUCACAAUUUUUUUCAGGUGUUUAGCUAACUGUUUUUAAUUUCUUAAAUUAAAUAAUUAAUUUGUUACUAAUUUAUUUGUUUCCAUAUGUGUUUUUUUUUUAAUUUUCAGGUAACCAAAAUCGGAAAUGUAAGCCAAAAUUGGAAAAUAAAAUGAAACCUCAUGGUAAUCCUGUAAAUAAAUUAAGUAUUUUGUGUGUGUGUGUGUGUGAUUUAUGCGACUAGAAUGAGUUUCAAUUUUAAUAAUGAGAUGAUCAUUAAAAUUCAACUGAUCUCCAAAAUUGUAUAGCACAAAAUAAAGCUGAACCCAAUUGAUAUAAGAGUGAGGUCACCUUACAUAACUAGAAUAAGUGAAGUCCAUUAAU
rnacentral:lncRNA from 1 species